CUACCAAGGAUAACUUGACUAUUUUUUGUCGAAGACAAGAUUCAUAAGCUGGGUAGACUCUGGAUCAAGAGAGCCAAGGAUCCCAUCCUUUUUCAGUUUGUUUGUCCUGUCCUCUCCAAUAUAGCUUAGUCUAUGAUGCCACAAGUACUUCUAGUUAAUUUCAUCUCUGGGUCUUUUUUGACCUACGAUACUAACUAUUUACUCA
rnacentral:lncRNA from 1 species